UGGCAAUAUCACAUUAAAACAUCAGUCCUUGUCCAAUCACUGAAGUUAAGCAAUGUUGAGCCUGGUCAGUACUUAGAUAUGUAACUGCUUGGGAAUACCAGGUGUUGUAGG